rnacentral:lncRNA from 1 species
GGCAGCACUUCCAAUUAUUAUAAAGUAAAUUCCCCAUUCAAACAGGAGUGACUAUUUCUGAAAACAAACAUAUCACUGGAGUAUGCUUACUAUGAAUGUCAUUUUGUACACAGUUCUCCUGCACCCCUGCCCCCUUAAGAGGUUAAGGAAUUUCUCCGAACCACCACUACAGGAUCUGAAAUCAGGAGCCAAGGAUACCAUCGCUACUGUCAUUCUCAGGCUGGGGAGAGCCGGACUGACUGAGGUUUAUACCCACCACUAUGGCAAGGGGAUGAGAUGGCACUUGAAACAGAUUUCAUUUAGAUUGUUGAAGUCCAACCAGUUUAGUUGUUUUGAUCUCUAGAAGAAGAAAAAACAGGAAUCUUGAACAUCCCAAAAGGAGGAAUCUGAAUUAGUAAAUGGAACAUCCACACAUGCCCAUUAGGGAGAAAAAGAGAGUGAGAGAUGUUGUAAGUGAACUAAACCCUCAUACUCCAUAGCAGGAAAUGAACAGAUGAUAUAUCAAGUUAAUAAAAGACAGAGAUAAACUGGAAGUCUUUGGAAAUACGGAGGUAAACUCAUAAAGCCUAAAACCAGAAACGGUUAAAUGUGAUUCUCCUGGGGAGUAAUCCUGAGGGUGGAGAGGAGGAUGGCUGAGAACUUAGCAUGUUUUCAGAAGCCUUGUGGAUUGAAUUGAUUUUUAACCACAUGCAUGUAUUACAUUGAUAAAAAAUUUAAACAAAAAUUAGUUUCAAAACUAUGGCUACAUUUUAUAUUAUAACAGCAAAUUCCUAUGUUUUAGGCACUGUUUUAAGUAUUUG